AAUCCUGGCUCAGGACGAACGCUGGCGGCGUGCCUAACACAUGCAAGUCGAACGGAGAAUUUUAUUUCGGUAGAAUUCUUAGUGGCGAACGGGUGAGUAACGCGUAGGCAACCUGCCCUUUAGACGGGGACAACAUUCCGAAAGGAGUGCUAAUACCGGAUGUGAUCAUCGUGCCGCAUGGCAGGAUGAAGAAAGAUGGCCUCUCGAAGCAAGCUAUCGCUAAAGGAUGGGCCUGCGU
rnacentral:rRNA from 1 species